GGGGAAUAUUGGACAAUGGGCGCAAGCCUGAUCCAGCCAUGCCGCGUGGGUGAAGAAGGCCUUCGGGUUGUAAAGCCCUUUUGUUGGGAAAGAAAAACAGACGGCCAAUACCCGGUUGUUCUGACGGUACCGAAAGAAUAAGCACCGGCUACCUACGUUCCAGCAGCCGCGGUAAUACGUAGGGUGCAAGCGUUAAUCGGAAUUACUGGGCGUAAAGCGUGCGCAGGCGGUUUUUGUAAGACAGUGGGAAAUCCCCGGGCUCAACCUGGAAACUGCCAUUGUGACUGCAAGGCUGGAGUGCGGCAGAGGGGGAUGGAAUUCCGCGUGUAGCAGUGAAAUGCGUAGAUAUGCGGAGGAACACCGAUGGCGAAGGCAAUCCCCUGGGCCUGCACUGACGCUCAUGCACGAAAGCGUGGGGAGCAAACA
rnacentral:rRNA from 1 species